UGGACACACAAAAACAGGAGGACAGACACAAAGGGAAGGAUGGGAUCAGGUUGGAUCAGCUUUCCAAGAGUUCUGCAGGUGUUUCUGUCCUCAUUCAGGGUUUGAAUUCAUGCACAUCCACAGAAUUAAUCUCCACUCAGACAAACACAUCAUGGAAGACUGAGAUCUACUGCAAACCUCAGUUACCAUCAUGGACACAAUGAAACAAAUGUGCUUGCACGAAUGAUCCCAAACACAACUGCUGCAGCACACGUUAUUUAUGACCAUUUCAUUGUAAUUCCCCGAAAGAAUCGUAUGAUGUCAGCAGAGGAGGUCGCGUGUGAGUAGGUGGCAAACACACAGUACUGUGCUAAAGAUUUAGAGUUUCAUCUUGGAGCAUUUGAUCUCGGAGUGUACAUUGUUAGUGAAACAAAU